rnacentral:rRNA from 1 species
GCUUGUCUCAAAGAUUAAGCCAUGCAUGUCUAAGUAUAACUCUUUUACUUUGAAAACUGCGAACGGCUCAUUAUAUCAGUUAUAGUUUCUUUGAUAGUCCCUUACUACUUGGAUACCCGUAGUAAUUCUAGAGCUAAUACAUGCAUCAAUACCCAACUGUUCGCGGAAGGGUAGUAUUUAUUAGGUAUAGACCAACCCUCUUCGGAGGUGCUUUGGUGAUUCAUAAUAACUUUUGCGGAUCGCAUGGCCUUGCGCCGGCGAUGAAUCAUUCAAAUUUCUGCCCUAUCAACUUUCGAUGGUAAGGUAUUGGCCUACCAUGGUUACCACGGGUAACGGGGAAUUAGGGUUCGGUUCCGGAGAGGGAGCCUGAGAAAUGGCUACCACAUCCAAGGAAGGCAGCAGG